rnacentral:lncRNA from 1 species
UUAAAACUUAUUUAUUAUUUAGAUUUUGGCCGCACCCUGGGGCAUGUGGGAUCUUUGUUCCCCCACGAGGGAUUGAAUCUACAGUCCCUGCUUUGGAAAGUGGAGUCUUAACCACUGGACCACCAGGGAAGUCCCCAGUCUAGCUGAUUUUCAGUCAUCUACAUAUGAGUCCGCUUUCCUGUUGUCUACACUACAGCACACGGGCAUCUCCAGCAGAAGUGGGUGAGGAUUCCAGGCUCCACAGCACACUGUGCUCCUAAAGAAUGGACGAGUUCUGGUUUGAUGAAAUUCAAUGUGUGGGAUAUGAAGGAACCAAUAGACAAAACUCCUCUGAAUCCGCGCCAUGGGUGCUGAUGGAUCAGGUGCCGGGCUGGGAGCCAGAGCCCGGAUGCACAGAGCACUGCCCUGGGGAGAUCCAGGUGCUGAUUUCGCCUGGAGUCUUCAGACAUCAUGGCAUCACAAACCUUUUCCUUUGAAGUUUCGACCUGCCUAUCUUCCUUAUUUGAUUGGUGGUUUCACGAUGGAAACUAUCGUGAUUUAGAUGUCUAGUUAUUCCCCUACUGGGUCUGUCAUUGCCCUGCCUGCUUCCUCAAGAUAUGUCAGAUCGCUUCAGCUGACUUCCAGCUGCCAGAAUUGUAUGUCUGUGCUGAGAACUUUCCCCCAGAACAACAGAAGGCACACAGCAAACGGAAAUUGCCUGGCACACAAUCUAUUCCUCUCCCAGUAGUCUUCAACCAAUGAGUCUUAGGACGAGGUGUAUAAAUACCCCAGCUCUCUCCUCCCUCAGGUGGGAUAAUGCUGAAGUUCUGUGUUGCACUGUUUACCUGUGGGAUUAAGUUCCAGUCAUCCACACAGGUGUGCAUCUUAAAUAACACAUCCUACUGACUGCUUCCCAAUCCUUGUCUCACUUCUCCACUCCUCUGGGAGCAUCCAUGCCCCAGAAACUUUCUCUCAGGGUCUGCUGAGGGGUGUGUGUGUGUGUGUGUGAGACAGAGAGAGUCACUCAGUCAUGUCUGACUCUUGCAACCCCAUGGACUGUAG